rnacentral:rRNA from 1 species
GAGUGCAACCUUAAGUGGGUGGUAAGUUCCAUCUAAGGCUAAAUAUAACCACGAAACCGAUAGCAAACAAGUACCGUGAGGGAAAGUUGAAAAGAACUUUGAAGAGAGAGUUCAAAAGUACGUGAAACCGUUUAGGGGUAAAACGGAAAAGAACUAAAAAUCCGAAAAGGGAGAUUCACGUCUUCUCAUAUGUUAAAUAUAAUAGUUUUAAGGAUAAUUAAUAAUUUUUUACUUAUGUAUUAAUAUUAUUAAUUGCCUUUAAUUAUUAUAAAUAGCACUGGUAGACCGCACUUCUCUCUUAGUAGGACGUCGCGACCCGCUGAUUUAUAAUUUUAAGAACAUAUAUUUUAGUUUUGUUAUAAUAUUUUAUUAUUUUGUAACACAAUAAUAUGUCUCUAAUUAAUUAAUUGGCGGUAUGAAACGGCAGUGUUGAGUCGCUUAAUAAGCGUUUAAAUAACUUUUUAUUUUUUAAUAAUAAUAAAUGACAACUUGUUGAUUAUUUAUUUUAUUAAUUAUAAAAUUUUAAUUUAAACUGACCUACAACACUAGUCAGCGGCGCUACAGUUUUAGUAACUUUUCCGACCCGUCUUUUUUUUGAAAAUCCAUUACCAAGGAGUCUAACAUGUGCGCAAGUCAUUUGGUUUAAACACCAAAAGGCAUAACAAAAGUAAAGUAAGCUUUGCUUAAUUAGGGAGGAUAAUUAUUAAUAAAUUUAUUUUGUUAUAAUUCGCACUCCCGGGGCGUCUAUUACUUAUUGCAAGUAAAGGCGCACCUAGAGCGUACACGUUGGGACCCGAAAGAUGGUGAACUAUGCCUGGCCAGGAUGAAGCCAGGGGAAACCCUGGUGGAGGUCCGUAGCGAUUCUGACGUGCAAAUCGAUCGUCAGAGCUAGGUAUAGGGGCGAUAGACUUAUCGAACUAUCUAGUAGCUGGUUCCUUCCGAAGUUUCCCUCAGGAUAGCUGGUGCCAAUGAUAAUUCGAGUCUCAUCUGGUAAAGCGAAUGAUUAGAGGCAUUGGGGCCGAAACGACCUCAACCUAUUCUCAAACUUUAAAUGGAUGAGAGCCUUGGCUUGCUUAAAAGUGAAGCCUAGGACUUGGAUCUAGGUACCAAGUGGGCCAAUUUUGGUAAGCAGAACUGGCGAAAA